GGGGGGGGAUUUCGUUUCCGUGGGCUGUGUAUACUUUAACGUGCGGCAUGGCACCGGGACACAACGGGCAGCGGCUGCUUUGGUGUGCCCGGAGGGCGAGGAGGCAUGUUGAGAGCUUUCUAGCCACGGGAGACGCCGGUGUCAGCUUCCGACGACGUGCGUGUUUCCUCGCUUCAGAGUUGCAGUUCGACCUGCGGACGGAGGCCAUUCGCGUGUGCCGUGCGUGCGCACGCGGCUCUCCCAGGCUUUGCCCUCAACAAACAUGGCGGCUCUGACCGUUCAUUCUAAAGCAGUGGCGCUAGCGACCAGCCAACGAGCGCGAGGGAUAGAGAGGCAUAAAUCCUUUUGCGCCUGCGCAAUGGUGGCUGCGUGAGAGGAGGGAAAACAUAGACUGAUUCUAGUUUCGUAUCGUUUGCCUUGCUAAGGGUUCCUUUAGGGUCCACUUUUGCAUGGCGGGUGGGUUUUUUUGGAUGUGCCCUCUGGAAGCAGCCGCAGUUUGAGCGAAUGCAGAUGCAAGCCUCUUCUCAUCGGCCUUGUGCAAAACGUUUCUGUCUCAGGUCAAGCAGCCGGAGCUGAUUCCAGCAUUGAGUGGGAGGACUAGCCAUAAAUGUCAGCGUGGAUGGCAAAACCCAGAGGAUUCCCAUCCAAGACGUUUCCAUGCACAUUUUAUGCAAGUCUUACAUUCCCUAUCGAGGAGGGAUGAGAAUCAGCAGAGGCAGCAAGUAGCAAAACCCAGGACGCUUGAUGGUCGCAGCUCAUCCUAACAGGCCAAGGGGGCACCGAGGGAGGGUCUGCUGCCUUCACGUCCCAGCUUUUGGGUUGCUUCUCUCUCCCCAACUCCGCCUGAGAGCCGCGCUGAUUGCAGGCUGUCCCUUGAUAGGACAAGCAGCUACUGCAGAUAGGGGGAAGAUUUGCUUGUAUGGUCCUUUUAACCAUUGCUUUGAUUGGUGUGUCCUGAGCAUUGUCCAACCAUCCAGCUCCCAUGUCCCCAGCUGAAGUGGCCCUCCUCCCUCCCCCAACUGCCACCACAGAAUGGCCAGGGGCCAUCUUCCUCUGAGGGGAGGAGAGAAGAAAGACUUAAGGCCCAUGGGAAGAUGCUGAAAGGAGAAGGCAAUGGUCAACCCUUCCUGUAUUCUACCAAAAGAUAAUCACAGGCCUCCUGCGCACCCACACCCCAACAUUGCAGUUUUGAGAUAAUCAUACUGGUCGUCUUUAGAAGGCUGUUGGGUUGAUGACGUUCCUCAAAUAGAAGGCAACUCUGAAUUUAAGAUGAUUCCCUUUAAAAACACAGGUAAGGAAGAGGACUCUGAAUUUAAGAUGACUCCCACCCCACCCCAGUGUAUAAUAGCAUCAAAGAACUUGAGAGAAACCUAGUCUUGGAUUCAGAACUGUGGGCAGCAGAAAGAGACCUGCCAGGACAGUUCUGCAAAUGCUUACAUAAGAGUUCACUCCGUUCCCUAAUGAGCAGGUUUGGUGGCAGUUUUCAUGUUCCUGCUUGCCCAGGUUUCACAAACGGUUGUGCAAACUCCCACCAAGAGAACAUAUCCAAAGGUGCUCUUGGGAUAUACUUUCACUUCCCUUGCUCAACAUUCUAGCUGGAAGGGAGAGGCAGCCUGUGUGGAAAGACACCUCUGGAUCCAACCCAUGGUUUUUAUGCUUGAUGCUCCUCUCUCGAACUGCCUGGAAUAAAAUAAAAUGCUUAAUCUCUUAACCAGA